rnacentral:rRNA from 1 species
AUUGAACGCUGGCGGCAGGCCUAACACAUGCAAGUCGAGCGAGCGGCGGACGUGUGAGUAAUGUCUGGAACUCGCCCAGUAGAGGGGGAUAACCGGUGGAAAGUACUGCUAACACCGCAUACGCAGAGAUCGCCGAGGUGGGAUUAGCUAGUUGGUGGGGUAAUGGCUCACCAAGGCGACGAUCCCUAGCUGGUCUGAGAGGAUGAUCAGCCACACUGGAACUGAGACACGGUCCAGACUCCUACGGGAGGCAGCAGUGGGGAAUAGUGCACAAUGGGCGAAACCCUGAUACAGCCAUGCCGCGUGUGUGAAGAAGGCCUUCGGGUUGUAAAGCACUUUCAGCGGGGAGGCGUUACUCGCAGAAGAAGCACCGGCUAACUCCGUGCCAGCAGCCGCGGUAAUAC